CCCACAACCCGCGCGCGGCCCCGAUCCAAUCUAACCCGCCGUCGCCGCCCUGCGCAACACCUGCCGCCGCCGCCCUCCGCCCUCUCCCCUCACCGCCGCCGUGACCCCGCGCCCCUCCGAUCGAUAGCGACGACGCCCGCCAUUGACGCGUCCCCGAGCCAUCGACGCCCGCCGCGGGAGUCUUCUUCCUCGACGUCGGCUACGUCAUCUUCUUCCCCUACGGCGUGUUCGAGCUUGUCUCCAAGCCACCCUAGGUGAGCUUCGACUCCUCCUUUAGCCAUCUGUGAGCUGAUUUGAUCUGUCAACAACAACAAAAAAAGUGGUCGCAAUGCACCAACCAGGAAGUGAGAAAAAUGCACUCCAACAAAGACAUGCAUGUUCAUAGGCUUACUUGCGCACUUUUAAAUUUAAAUCCCAACUCCCAAGUGCCUCAUUCUAUAUGCCCAUGAGGCUGCUAUUUUCCUUGCCAGCCCGACACCUGAGUGUCACCAUCGACUAGCUAGCUACUUUUCCAGUACUAUAUACAUAAACCAGCACUCCGUAACUAUGGUUUAUUGAUGCCUAGGGCGAUCCUGACAACAUGCCAAAUAGUUUUAGCAAGAAUACAGUCAAAGAAGAGAUGUUGUACACUCUCGUUAUGAUUUUUUUUUGGGAUAAGAAUUGUCUACCUUAUAUAUUCCAAACAGACUAGAAGUCUCAACCUGAACAAGUCAGGUCAAAACAGCAAGGAAGAAAAGCAAAAACGACUGAAAAGAAGAAAAAGAACAACAGAUGUAUAUGAGCGAGAUGAUUACAAAAACUGCAUUUGAGGCUUCCUGUCCAAUUCUGUACAGAUGUAUAUGAGCAAGAUAUAUAUCAGAUGAACCGUAGUAAAAUCUUUCGGGAAAUCUAGCUACGAAACAGAUGUAUAUGAGCUGAGGGGUGAAUUCUGUAAAGAUUCAGAUAUUGCUGAGCAAUUAGCAGUACAACAUAUGCACGAGGGUUUAUACGUAGCCAUACAGAAGGCCUUAAUAUGCCAGACACAAACAAUGUCACAGCUUACAGUAUUAUUAGGACUAUUAGUCAUCACUGCUGUCUGACUAACACACAUUGUAAGGAAUUACAUGGCCCCAUUAGGCAAUAAUUUGUCCCAAGGGAUGAAAUCCAAAUCAAACAAGCGAAGAAAGGAUCAAAUCAGCUCACUUAAAAUUGUCCCCUUUCUGCCUGAUGCAAGGUUACUUUCGUUAUAAUAUGUUGUGCUUGUUUCAAACUGUUUUGCUACAAGUACCAUAUGUUGUUAAAUUUGAACUGCCUUAAAUAUUUACCUUCUGCAUGUUGGAUUACUUUUUUAUUAGAGGCAGGAUGUUGAAUUACUUGAAUACCAUUCAUGUACAUAUGUGUGAUAUGCACAUUUAGAUACAUUAAAAUCGAGCACUCUCCCAGCCCUCUCAGGCCAUCAACAUUUCUAAUCGUUGGAUCGUCACUUUUAGUCUUCUUUAACCGUCAGAUUUGCUCUUAAUUGCCCUCAAAUCGCGCGUAAAGGCUUCAUGAGAAGCGCUAGCCUUCUCGGGCCGCUGCUCCCGUGGUUUUUUUUGGGCAUCAUAGGUUCAAUUGGGCCUAUUGGGCCUGUACUCUGAUCCCCGUCCAGCGCAGAAGUGGAGAACCCAAAACACUGGACGCUCGGGACCCUGAUCUCUUUCGCUCCCAGCCCUGGCGGCGCCUCUGAACUGGGAGCCGACCGAUGCGGGGGCUUGGACUGCCAUGGCGACUGCGCCAGGUUUCGACCGACGCGGCAGAUAUCGCCUACUCGGUUCAUUCAGUUGCAUGGAUGUGACGGACAGCGGCUCCUCGAUCCGUUCGGUUCCAUAGCGCGGCUGGAUGGUGUGUGGCGACGAACUGCCAUGAAGUUCAAUCGCCAAGGACGAUUUAUUCAGAGUUUAAUACCAGUAAUGCCAUUUGAUGCUCCGGGCAGGUCAGUUUUCAUUGGCGGUUCAUAUUUUUCAUUCAAUUCAUGCAACCCAUAUAAUCCCAACCUUGCCGCUGCUCCUUCCUCACUCUGCUCAUUGGCAAACCAUUCUCCAGCACAGCUGCGCUGGAUGAUGCUAAGGUUUCCAGUUGUUCCAAUUCUCCCUCUUUGCUGCAUCUCUUCUUCCCCCAAUUCCUCCUCUAUUUUUAGUGAUACUAUUCUUUAUAUUAAAAGAAACGCAGGGCAGCCUGCUUCGGUUGGGUUAGAAGGUUCUCUACAAGGACGAAUUCGAGCUAAGUACUGAUUGGUUUCUUUUGUUCUUCCAGUUGAAUCUGCCGGUAUCCAGUGUGCUCUUAUGCCUCCUUUAAUUACGCCUCAUCUCAAUAUUUGUGUGUUCUACUAUGUACCUUUUAUUCGUAUGAUAUGAUUUCAGUCUCUGUGAUUGUUUGAAAUAAUCAAACUACACAUUGCAGGUCAGUUACCAUGUCGAUCCUUGCUCUUCAUUUACUCCACAUGCGUUGUCGAUGUUCGAUCCGUGUUCUUCAAUUAGUUCUUCUCUGUUCUUCCCCCAAUUCUUUCUCCAUCAAGUAUAUAUUUUUUAUUAAUUGAUGAUGCUUUCCACUCCCAACUGAAGACAUGUGCUCUUAGUUGAUGAGUUUGACCUUUUUGCUGGGUUGGGUUCUCUGAGCCAUGCUUACUGAAUUUGAAAUAAUUUUUAAGUAGGUACUUGUGCAAGUGCGUUUUAGAAGCCUCUGUCAAGAGGCGUAUGAUGUAGCAACGUCAAAGCAAGUCGAGGACCUGAUGGUCUAGAUCAAUACCCAUCCUGACCAUGAACCAAUAUUCUCUCAAAUGCUUGGUAAUUAGGUUGAAUGGCAGAGUACUUGAAAAACAAACACUGAUUUGGUUUGAGAUUUUUAUUUGACCAUGUAUUGUUGUCACAAUAAGGGAUUCCCUUCCUUCUAAACUAAUGUGCUGCAUCAAGAUAGUCUUAAAAUACAGUGGAUGUGAGUACACAUAACACUUAGCAUUUUAAGAUGAUUGUGAAGCUCAAGGAAGAUACACAUCUCGGUACUAUAUGUAAGCAAUUUGUGCUCUUCACAUUGGUACAGUUUCACCUCAGGCAACUUCUUGGGAUAAAAAAAGUUGCCUGAAGCCAUGUAACAGCAUACAAAUGUGGCGUUUUUCAACCAAUUUUGCAAAACAGUAUGGAUUUCAUUCUACUAUAGUACCUCAUGGCCUAAGAUAUGGUCUACUGCAAGCACUCUCGUUGGGAUGUACUGCACAACAUUCUUCAACAUGAUGCUCAGACAGAUUUCUCUAUAUUUAAUUUCAGUUGUAUGAUUCCAUCUUGCACCAAACAAUUACAUUGUCGUGAUAUCCUCUCAUUCCAAAAUUUGUACAUACAGGUAAUGUUCAUGCUGGUUGUGGUCGAUUGAGGAUUUUUGAGAUCGGGAGCUUGCCGCUGCCCUCCCCUUCGCGCACAUGACUACCUUUGUUGUGCUGCAUGGAUGCCGGCCGUUUCCAUCCAUCUCAGAACUCCUAAUUACCCAGAAUUCAUCUAAUGGACAUCUAAGUUGAAACUUGGAGAGCAUCUAAUAUCCUCAUGUUCAUUUUUUUCCUUUUUAUUUUUUCCCACUGUCAUUCAAGUACAAGUUCAGUUUCGAUGUCUCAAGAUAGAUCCAAGUUAACUUAUAGUUGUUUCAGAAACCCUUGCAUCAGAGGGCAUAACUCUCCAUGAUGCAUGGAAACAAAAAUAGAGCUCUCAAAUAACUGCACCACGAACAAAUUCCUAACCAUUUCUACGGAUUAAUUGUUCAUUUCUAAAUGUAUUGAACUGGUGUGAUCUU